rnacentral:rRNA from 1 species
GACGAAGGACCCGAGCGUUAUCCGGAUUCAUUGGGUUUAAAGGGUGCGUAGGCGGAUUGAUAAGUCAGUGGUGAAAGCCUGUUGCUUAACAACAGAACUGCCAUUGAUACUGUUGGUCUUGAAUAUGUUUGAUGUGGGCGGAAUAUGACAUGUAGCGGUGAAAUGCUUAGAUAUGUCAUAGAACACCGAUUGCGAAGGCAGCUCACAAAGCCAUUAUUGACGCUGAGGCACGAAAGCGUGGGGAUCAAACAGG